ensembl:lncRNA
UUAUUAUUGUAGCACAAAAACACUGAUACUUAUGUAUUUUAAUGAUGUUCAGUAGAAAAAACAAACGAAAAUAUAAAGUGAGUAAAAGGCAAGUUAAAAAUAGAAACCCACUACCUCACCCACUAUUAUUCUGCUUCAGUUAGUCUCCCAUUAAUAUGACAGGGACAUUUUUAUUCUGGUGACUCCUGCUUGGCAUGCCCUCUCCACCAAUCACCUACCUGCCUAGUCAGAGCUAAUGAAAACAUCUCGGUUAAUUAACCACAUUCAACUUCCUCUUUUUAUAAGGAUAACCAUAAUACUGACAUGAUGACAGAGAGGGAAUACCCAGAAAAAGUGGCAGGAGAAGACUGAUCUCAUUUUGUGGCAGUUUGGGAUCUAAGCCAGUUUUGCUUUUUCUUCUUUUGUUUUUAUUUUAUUUUUACACAUCAUUUCAAACUUCCCUGUUGAGGGUGCUUUUACAUAAUACAGGCUUAUUUUUUUAAAUCAAAAUUUCUGGAAGAGCCUUGGCCUUUUUAGUAAUGAGCCUCUGAAUUGUCCUAGAAAUCUUUGCAGAGAUAAUGUUUCCCUAAUGCUGAUUUUUUUUUUUUUUUAAAUUCUUUAAAUCUUAGAGAAAUUGUUUUGGUGUUUGAAAUACUUUUACCAAAGUAUAAAAAAUUACAAAAGCUGUGGACUACAUCCAAAAAGAAAAAAAAAAGAUUUGAAUAUCGUUGAAUGUCGUUCUACUUUUAUGAAAUUUUAGUGGGACUGGGAUAAAGUGAGACUGACUGGUGACUUCAAACAUUUUGUAAUUUAUAGGAUGUUAAAAAUGGCCAAAAAUCUACACACCACUUACUUCUUAUAAAAUAUUAAUCUUUUCAUGUUUUCGACCAUCACGCCAAGUGGCCAUCUGCACGCAGAGAGAAACAUAACACAGCCAAUCUCAGAUCUCCUGGGAUCUGUGGUGAGCGCAGGAAUGUGACACAUGUUUUGUCACGGCUGCCGAGGCGAGCUGUGUGGUGUUGGAGGAAAGGAGGACCCAAAAUGCAGGUGAUGACUCAUGAUUCGAGUGAUGUUUAUUUACAGGGUGGUGUAGUGGCAAAUAGGCAGUGAGGGAUGACAGGGAACUAAAGAAAC